CAGUAACCUUACAAAUGGCUAAGAAAUAAAUGUCUCAUAAUCACUUCCUCACAAGUAAAAAUGGAAGGAGAUGACAACUGUGCCUCCUAGCAGACCACAAAGCAAUAGUAAAUAACAAAGAAGAAAAAUUAACUCACCCUUUUCAACAUUCAGUGAUAAUUCAAGAGGAGUACAAUCUCCAUCCAGAGAGAUGCUGCCCUCUUUGCUGCCAAACCUUAACGGAGGGUGAGCAGGGGUGGAUCAAGGCUCUGACCCUUCUGGUCACUUAGCUUCAUUGCUUGCACCUGAGCUCCCUGAGUUAACCAUGCCUUCUCACCUGGUGCUCAACCAUUGGCUCAGGCUGUGGCCUAGCAAUUCUGGAGGACACUUUGGCAAACAGAUCUACCUUUUUGUGAAUGCGAAGAUUGUGUUUUGAGGUUGUUACAUCACGGUUCAACUACAGAAGGAACAACUUGAAGGUGAACAUAUUUUUAAAGCUGCUUGUGGAGUUGAUGAGAAGCAGUCAGAAAGUCUAGCAGAUAUGAAUAUGAAACCACUGGAAUACAAGCUAUAUAUUCAUUUAAAUAGGUCGUCUACUGAAAUAGUUUGACUGAAGUUAUCACUUAAACCAUGUAAGACCUGAGGGAGGAUGGAUACCCACGUAUUUUGGAAUGCUGUCCAACAAGAUGGUUGUGAUUUGUUCAGUCUUUCUCAGAAGCAACUUUUACUGACAAAGCAGAG
rnacentral:lncRNA from 1 species